ACAAAAACCAAAGUGCCGCCCCCAGCAAUCAAACUUCAAUCAGAAUCAGCUCUAUGGAGGUUCUCCGCAUCACCCGGCGAUCACCACAUCUCCAGUGACUUCCUCGAUUGUCAGACGCGUGCCACGUCUGUUGCGCGUGACAUAAUCAUGCUCUGUUGCUAGGAGAUGAGUAAAUAAACGAUCGUUCAAAUGCAUACAGUGGAAUUAACCAUACAGAUCAUCAAAUCUACAUAAAACAAAGCUAUUCAAUCUCCUGAAAACAUAAAUUUAAGCUUCACUCUUAAGAACAACGCUGUGUCUACAUAUUUAUAUUUAUAGGCAAAAGGGGGAAGCAAGAGAGACCAAACAGCUGACAAAGGAUACCCAACAUACAUACAGGUGCAAAACGCCCAUUUACCUAAUGAAACCUUGAACAUGGAGUGAAAAUAAAAUAUAAAAAGAACACCCUCUCUAAAAGAAAGCUAUACAGCAUGCCAAAAAAGAUGGAAAAAAACAAAGGUAAGUAAAGAGAGACAGACUGGCAAAUAGUAAUAGAGGACCAUGCAAGAUAAGAUACAUAGCCAAAUCCAAAUCCAAAUCGGGCACAUACUAGAUGCACCUUCUCUAGUAAGUAGGGGCACCGGCACCUUUUCAAGCACUUGGUAACUGUGAGACGUUAUGCCUUUUUUCUUUAAAGUGCCGUGCGACUGGUGCGUCAGUAGUCUAUACUACGGAUCAGACUUUUAGGGCACAUAUAGUUUUACCCACAUAGCCCAGACCACACGGACACUUAAGAAGAUAAAUCACAUGUAAAUCUGGCAUGUGAAAAACCCUUUAAGCCUGAUCUGUUGGCCUGUCCUGGGGUAGGUGCAAAAUUCACCCUUAAUAAUCCCACUGCAAUGACUGCAGCUCAAUUAAGGGUAUGUCCCAUGCACUGGUUUUGAAAGAGAAGUUUGUUUAGUGUUAGUCAGACAGUCAGCCCUAACUAUUAUAUCUCUUAUAGAUCAUCCGAGUUUAUUAGCAAAUAUUAGCAAAUCAUGGGGGAUUCUGAAAUAGAUGUCCAGUGUGUUUAUCAGGUUGUAAUAUAAACCAGUUAUUACGUAUAAUGUUCUGUAUUUCAGGUGCAAGUGAUUAGAAAGUACUUACAAAUGGUAUUCUGUCCUGUUUGGGUUUGUCUGUUGUAGAAAGUAGUUUCUCACGGUUAAUGCCCAAGGCCUUCUGUUUACCUUUUUGUAACAGGCGGGGGCUAUUACCCUUGCCCAAAAACGUUUGUGAGAGAUCUGUCAAGCGUUUAUUGACUACGCUGUUGUCGCUAACACAAAGCUAAAUCUGUCAUAAAAAGGUUUGCAUACGAUGGUAACGUAUUCGCACCCAUCGCAGUUUCUUUGACUUAUUAAUUGAGGAUUGACAUAUACCUGAAAAAAAACUUUUUUAAGACAAUUUCCAAUAAGGUAGUGACAAAGAGCACAUUUUUUCGUCUUUAAGAUGAAGUGGUCGGUGUGCCUAUAGUGUCUAUUUAAACAGUGAAGUAGACUAUGACUAAACUGACAACAGUAGAGCUGCAAUGGUUUUACAGAGCAGUUUUACUUAUCCUAAGAAAUGAGCAGAACUUCUCUUGGAGGGUAAACUAUUUAUCUCACAAACUCCUGAAAGAGGAUGAUAAGCCGGUAACUGCAGGCAGACCCAAUAAAAAGUGCAUAUGGAGUUACAUUUAAAGUGCUUUUUGUUUUCUUUUGCAUUGUUUAUUAACAGAAUAUAGAGGGUAACGUUCCCCUUAUAGUGUUACUUUAACUGCAAUAAAGGAAAACAACCAUUUAACAUCAUUCCUAUCGUGCAGGAAGGCAGACCCAUUGCCAUUAUCAUUUGCAAUGUAGGAAGAAUUAGUCACUUGCCAUCAUAGGUGUGCGCACGGGGUGUGCCUGGGCACACCCUAAUCCCUGCGGCCCGCACUAUGUGCCUCCCUGCCUGUGGACCGUGAGGGAGAGCUCCGCCGGGUUCCUCUCGCGAGGUUGGAGCGUUGCCGCGGCAAUGCUCAGAUCUCGCGAGAGUGAACUCUAGCCUCACAGGGAUGGCAGCAGCACAGUCCCCACUCCCUACAAAAGGUAAAAAGGGAGGGGGGAUAUUAACUAAACGGUCCCCACACCACACAAUACACAUGAACAGCACCCACACACACAUAGCACACACACUAACAGCACCCUCACACAUACACACACACACACACACAGCAGACACUAACAGCACCCUCACUGUCAUGCGGUAUCUCUUCCGGGUUCGGCACUUCCGCAUUGCGGAGCCGGCCCCGCCCCCUUCUGACGCGGCUCUGACAGUACUUAGGGAGACCGCGCCAGGAAGAAGGUGAUUGUGGGACCUACUUCCGGGUAUACACACCGGCUCCACAAGCCGUCCCAGCCUUUGAGCCAAUGCAAGGAUUGCUGCAAGCCAUAGAGGAUUACUGGAGAAUUACGGAUACUUUGCUAAUUUACAAGUGGACUAUAACUCUGAACUCUUGGAGGACAACUCACCUUAACCUUAAGUAUAUCUUUCAACUAUUGUCUGCAAUAUCAUUUAUUAAUGAACCAAUUCCUGCUUGCUCAAAUCUUCUCUGCUUCAAGUUACUAAUUAUAUGGAGGACAACUCCCAUCAUGCUUAUUUACUAUGAACUGUUUCUUGCUUUGCAAAUACUCUCUGCUACCUGCUUAAUGUUUCUAUUGAAGAUUAUUCCCAGCAACCUAAAGAAUCUUAUUAAAAACUUCUCUGAGGAAAUACUUAUUAAUGAACUUUGUAUUGUUUGAUAACCUGCACUUUCUUCUUAUUGGAUUAUUGCCUAUAUGCAAUUCAUGUAAGUUUAUCAAUCAUUAAAACUUUGUUUGAUUCUCAAAUUGCCAGCAAUCCUCUCUUUUCUUAAAGCUACAGUAUUGAUACUUUAAAGAUUCUUCGUUUCUUUACUAUUGUAAUUAAGGAGUUCUACAAGCUGCAGUUGAGUUCCAAUCCAAAUAACCCAAGUAGCAUAACAGAAUCACCAAGCCUAAAAAUGGAACCAGCAGAUGUGAAUUCCCAAAUUACCUAUUUAAACCACAGGGUUGAAAUACUCACACAAGGCAUGCAGGAUUUGCAAAUUGCUAAUGAGAGACUUCUUUCCUAUAUUAGAGAAAUGCAAAAUAAAGUUACACAUUCUUCAAGUGACCCUGCUGUCUGCAAUCCUGAAAUAUUUUAUGGAGAUCGCUCUAAAUAUAGAGAAUUUUUUAAUUCAUGCAAAUUAUUGUUUACUCUCAAACCCAGGGCUUACUCCUCAGACAGAAUUAAGGUUUGUUCAAUAAUUUCCUACUUAAGGGCUGAACCUAUGUCUUGGGCACUUUCAUUUCUGGAAAAUGAAGAUCCUAUUUUGGAUUCUUUAGAUAAUUUUAUUGAGUCAAUGUCAUUACUUUAUGAGGACCCUAAUAAACAAGCUACUGCUGAUCUUACUAUUAGAUUAUUACAACAAAGAAAUCGUCCUGUGGAGGAUUAUAUAGCUGAGUUCAAAAGAUGGGCUUCAGAAACCCAAUGGAAUGAUAUAGCUCUACGUAAUCAGUUCCGUUUAGGAUUAUCUGAAACAGUUAAAGAUGAAUUAUCUAGAACCACUCUUCCCCCAACGCUUGAUACAUUAAUUCAACUCUCUAUUAGUAUAGAUAGAAGAAUCAGAGAACGUAAAGCUGAAAAGGCUCUCUCUAAUUCAGUUUGGAAAAAACCCAGUCCACCUUUGCUAAUGCCUAAUAAACCCUUGCAACCGAGUGAACCUAUGGAAGUUGGGUUUACUAGGGGACCUUUGUCUAUGGAAGAAAAAAACAAGGAGGAGAGACUUAAAUCUUUGUAUGUACUAUGCCUCUAAAGAACAUCUCUUACAAGAAUGUCCUCUUCUAAAACACUCUAAGGGAGGUAAGCCUAAAAUUAAUACCUCAAUUCUAAAAACACUACCCUCUUCCUCCUCUCAUCAGUUUGCUGUACCUCUAAUUUUACAGUGGGACAAAGAAAGAAUCAAGACUGAGGACAUUAUUGAUUCUGGUGCUACGGGGAUAUUCAUAGAUUCUUCGUUUGUUGAAGCCAAUAAAAUUCCUUGUCUGAAAAAAGCAUCUUUUGUCUCCAUCAGAGUUAUUGAUGGAUCUGUAAUCCCCUCUGGUCCCAUAAAAAAUGAAACUAUUCCUAUUUUGACCACUAUUAACCCCUUAAGGACACAUGACAUGUCUGACAUGUCAUGAUUCCAUUUUAUUACAGAAGCUUGGUACUUAAGGGGUUAAUAAUAACCAUUCAGAAUUUCUUGUUUUCGAUAUUAUAAGAUCCCCCCUUUCACCAAUCAUCUUAGGAAUCAACUGGUUACAAAUUCAUAAUCCCUUCAUUCGUUGGGCUCCAUUUUCUCUUACCUUUGACUCAGAGUAUUGUAAGGACAAUUGUCUCCCUCAAAUUCCUAUAUUUCAAUUAAGUCACGAAACUCUAAUACCAGAACCAUAUUCGGAUUUUUCCGAUGUAUUUGGUAAGAAAAAAGCUGAUGCUCUUUCCAGAAUUCCUGUUAAUCCUUCUUCAAAAGAGAAAACUUUCUCAAUGUUAUCAAACAAUAAAAUAAUUGGACUUACAACUACUAUAUUGGAGGAACUGAAACAAUUAUCUCUCAAAGAACUUGAACUACCUUCUACUCCUAAAUUGUUCAAAAAAGAUGGAAUCUUUUAUUUCAAAAACAGAAUUUAUAUUCCUCCAAAACUCAGACAUAACCUUUUAAAAUUAAUUCAUGAUUCUCCCCUUGCUGGACAUCCCGGGAUAAAAAAGACAAUUGAACUCUCUACUAGACAAUAUUGUGUAAAGUCUUGUCCAGUUUGUCAAAAAUCCAAAGCGGAACAUCACCUUCCUUAUGGAUUAUUGACUGGAUUACCAGUACCUGGGAGACCUUGGCAAUCUAUUUCCAUGGAUUUUAUGGUGGAACUCCCUCCUUCUCAGAAAUACACCACCAUCCUUGUUGUAGUAGACCGUUUCACAAAAAUGUCACAUUUCAUUCCUUUGAAAAAGUUACCCUCAUCCUCUGAACUUUCCAAAAUUUUUAUUGACAAUAUAAUCAAAUUACAUGGAUUCCCUGAAGAAAUAAUCUCAGACAGAGGUUCUCAAUUUACUUCACGUUUUUGGAAGGAAAUGUGUUCUUCACUUCAAAUCCAACGUAAACUUUCUUCAGCAUACCAUCCGCAAACAAAUGGCCAAACAGAACGAGUCAAUCAAUGUCUGGAACAAUACCUUCGUUGUUACUGUACGUAUUUACAAGAUGAUUGGAGUAAUUGGUUACCCAUGGCUGAAUUUGCCUAUAAUAAUUCCAUACAUUCAAGCAGCAAAAUGACUCCAUUCUUUUCACAUUAUGGAUUCCAUCCCUCCUUGUUUCCUGAUGAUCCCAAGACAACUUCGAAUCCAAUGGUUUCUAUUCAAAAUAUGGAAAUGUCCUCAUUGUUUAAUCAAUUAAAGAAAAACCUUGAAAGUUCUAUGAUCUUACAUAAACAGAAUUAUGGCAUUAAAAGGAGACUGCCUCCUAAAUAUAAAAUUGGUGACACUGUUUGGCUAUCUUCAAAAAAUAUUUCUACUAACCAUCCUUCUGAGAAACUUAGUGCUAUUUUCCUUGGACCUUUUCAAAUUGAAUCCAUUAUUAAUGAAAAUGUUGUGAAAUUGAAACUUCCUCCUUCACUUAAACUUCAUCCUGUUUUUCAUGUUUCCCUUCUCAAGUCUUUUCUCCCAGAUCCCUUCCAUAGGGAACAAUUGUCAAAGCCUGACCCCAUUGAAGUUCAAGGUGAAUUGGAAUAUGAAAUAGAGAGAAUUCUUGACUCCAGACUUCAUAGAGGUAGCUUACAAUACCUUAUUAGAUGGAAGGGUUAUGGAGAUGAAGAUAACACCUGGGAGAAUUCCUCUGAAAUUCAUGCAAAGACGUUGAUUACUGCUUUUCACAAAAGGUACACUCAGAAACCGAGGUAACAGCACCCGGAGUGUGCUCCUUAGGUGGGGGGUCCUGUCAUGCGCGAUCUCUUCCGGGUUCGGCACUUCCGCAUUGCGGAGCCGGCCCCGCCCCCUUCUAACGCGGCUAUGACAGUACUUAGGGAGACCGCGCCAGGGAAAAGGUGCUUGGUGAUUGUGAGACCUACUUCCAGGUAUACACGCCGGCUCCACAAGCUCUGACAAGCCGUCCCAGCCUUUGAGCCAAUGCAACGAUUGCUGCAAACCAUAGAGGAUUACUGGAGAACGGAUACUUUGCUAAUUUACAAGUGGACUAUAACUCUGAACUCUUGGAGGACAAUUCACCUUAACCUUAAGUAUAUCUUUCAACUAUUGUCUGCAAUAUCAUUUAUUAAUGAACCAAUUCCUGCUUGCUCAAAUCUUCUCUGCUUCAAGUUACUAAUUAUAUGGAGGACAACUCCCAUCAACUGUUUCUUGCUUUGCAAAUACUCUCUGCUACCUGCUUAAUGUUUCUAUUGAAGAUUAUUCCCAGCAACCUAAAGAAUCUUAUUAAAAAAACUUCUCUGAGGAAAUUCUUAUUAAUGAACUUUGUAUUGUUUGAUAACCUGCACUUUCUUCUUAUUGGAUUAUUGCCUAUAUGCAAUUCAUGUAAGUUUAUCAAUCAUUAAAACUUUGUUUGAUUCUCAAAUUGCCAGCAAUCCUCUCUUUUCUUAAAGCUACAGUAUUGAUACUUUAAAGAUUCUUCGUUUCUUUACUAUUGUAAUUAAGGAGUUCUACAAGCUGCAGUUGAGUUCCAGUCCAAAUAACGCAGGUAGCAUAACACUCACACACACAGCACCCUUACACAUACACACACAGCACACACUAACAGCACCCUCACACACAGCACCCUUACAUAUACACACACACAGAAUACACUAACAGCUCCCUUAUACACACAGCACCCUCACACAUACACACACAGCACACACUAACAGCACCCUCACACAUAUACACACACAGCACACACUAACAACACCCUCAGACACACACACACACACAGUACCCUUACACAGCACACACUAACAGCACCCUCACACACAGCACCUUUGGACAUACACACACACAGCAAACACUAACAGCACCCUUACACACACAGCACCCUUACACACACAGCACCCUUACACACACACACACACACACUAACAGCACCCUUAUAGACACACAGCACCCUCACACACAGCACCUUUACACAUACACACACUAACAGUGCCCUCACACACACACAGCACCCUCACACACACUCACACAGUGCCCUCACAUACACACAGCACCCUAACACACACACACAAUACCCUUACACUCACACAGCGCCCCCACACACAGCAGUGUGUGUGUGUAUAUAUAUAUAUAUAUAUAUAUAUACACAUAUAUAUACGCGGCAUAUGUGUUUGUGCUUUAGGGUGCACACCCUUAUGCAAUAGGCUGCGCACGCCUAUGCUUGCCAUCAUUCACUCCCAGGCAGCAGCAUUGUUGGCUGGAUCUGAAAAAGUCAUGACUCUACCGUUUCUACUUUUGUUGAAUAUUUCUCUUCACCUAUCUCCAAGCUUAUAAUAAGGAAAUGUGGAAUGAAUGAUCUCCCAACAAAUGGAACUUAACCCUGACCCUAGUCUCUGGCCUUGUUGACACAUGUACGGUACAUGAGCAAGAUAGGAAUGCAAGGACGGCAGGGAGUGGAGUAAAUACAGAGACAGAUAUAUUUAAGAGCAGGGUGUUUUAACUUGGGAAAUAAGUAAAUGCUGCUAUGCUCUCUUACUCAUUCACUCUUCACGCUGCCACAAAGGGUGGAACACGGAUGGGUAGUUGGCACUCCAGUUGCCAGGCCUUUUCCAUCAAGAUAGAAAGUCAGAACAGAUGUAUAGAAAUUGUGAUUUCUGCUUUGGAGUGUGGAUGAGAGCAUGUUGCAUUGGACAUUUUUUACACUGCUACUUUUUGAAUAUUGUGUUGACAACUCAAAGCUUUAUCACCACUACCAGGAUUAGUCUGUUAUCAGAUAACAAGUCUAUUAUGGGAAUAUGAGGACUGAUUUUGGCUGGGACCCAGACCGAUUCACAUGAUGUGGUCUAUCCCUUUAUCAUACUAGGGAUCACUGCAUUGACUCAUGUCCAUAAAAGCUGUUCGAUCAGCAGGCAUUUCUUUGAUUAAUUCUCUUCCCAAGGGGUAAGCCACUUACCUACCGACUGUAGGACAAACACCUACUGCAAGGGGAGAACAAAAGCAUUGUAUUCAAUGUAGCAGUUAAACGUUUGCAGUAGUACUAAUCUGUAAUAUACACAAAAGAGUUCAAAAGCAAAUAUAAAACAUUCAAAAACAUUACACACAGAAAAAAAAUAAAAAAUUUCUGACCAAGUUUCCAUAAGUACAAGAAGUUUAAUUCCAAUUACCACAAAUUGUAGACUUCAAAUACUAGGGGAUUAAAAGAGGCUUUUUAAAAGGGCCAUUCUAAGCGUCUUAACCAGUACAGUGUGCAUUAGUGGCACCACCCUAUACAAUCAUAUAAUUUACAAAAGGUAAAUACACUUACCUUGCUCUGUUCUGUCUGCAGGCUGCUUCCGAUCUAUGCCAUUACGCAAAAGCAGAACUAACAAACAUUCACAUUAUCAAAUCAGCUUGUGCUAAGUUUAAACAUUAUUCAUUGAUUGACAGCUGUCAGGUGUCAGUUAAUUGUUGGAAGGUGCAGGGCCUCCACACUGUACACUGUAAUGGUUAAAUGAUGCUUAAAGGGACACUAUAAGCAGCUAAACAACUUUCGCUUAAUGGAGUUGUUUUGGUGUCUAUAUCAUGCACCUACAGCAUAAAAUCUUAAUUAUCUGCCAUUUGGGAGUUAAAUUACUUUGUAUGGGUCACGUGCAGGGGAGGUGUGGCUGCAUAAAGUCACACUACACAUUUCCUGUAAAGAGAUGUAAUGUUUAAACUUCCUUUAUUGCACAGUCUGUUUAACUUAGAUUUAUUUUUAGCCACCUGUGUGUGAUUAAAGUUCAGUUAAUAGAACAGGAGAUAGAAACUUAAAGGAAUACAAUGCAAAGUUGUAUUCCUGGCACUAUAGCUCCCUCUGCCUCCUCACUCUUUCACACCCCCACCGACGUGAAUAAAGGAUUAAAAACCCAUUAUUUACUUACCUUACCCAAGCACUGAUGUCUCUCAGCGCUAAGUCGAGGCUGCGCCUCCACAAGCAUCCCGCACACGCACAUGCAGAACGUGUGGACGUCCAGCAGUUACCAGACCAAAGGUACUUUAGCCACUGGAGGGACUUCCUGGAUCCUGUCUGGAGACUUAGUGCUGCAGUGUAAACAUUUUCUCUGGAACUGCAAUGUUUAACAUUGCAGCACUAAGUGCAAUAGGGACACUGGACUCAAACCACUUCAAUGAGCUGAAGUGGUCUGGGCAGGGGCGGACUGACCGGUCGGGCACUUCGGACAAGGUCCGAGGGCCCGGCCGGGAGGGGGGCCCGCCGCCAGGGCCGCCUUCAGGGGGCCCGGCGGCAGGGCUGGAUUGGGGGCGGCAUUUGGGGACUGCAGGUGCCACCGGGUGGCCGGUCCGGUGGCACACUGUGAGGGGGGGGCUGGCCGUUUGAUGCUGCAGCCGCCGGACCGGGUGGCAGCCUCGCCGGUCCGGCGGCAUUCCGCUCACUAACACAGAAGGAGGAGGAGCAUGUGUCUGUCAUGCUCCUUUGCGGUUCCCACAUCCUGUGCUGGGAAUUGUGGGAGCCGCAGGGAGCAUGACAGACACAUGCUCCUCCUCCUUCAGUGUUAGUCAGAGGAAUGCCGCCGGACCGGCGAGGCUGCCACCCGGUCAGCACUGUAGCCUCAGCAACAGACAGUAAGAGGAUAGAAGAUAGAAGAGAACAGAGAUAGGGGAGAGGAAAAGAUAUAGAGGGAGAGGAGGAAAAAGAAUAUAGGAGGGAGAAAAGUGGGAACAGAAUAUAGGGAGAAAAGAUAUAGGAGGGGAGAAAAGAGAAAAAAAAGAAUAUAUAUAGGAGAGGAGGAACAAGGAAUAUAGAGAGGGAGGAACAGAAUGGGGAGAGGGAGAAAGAGGGAACAAGAAUAGGGAGGGAGAAAAGAGGGGGGAACAGAGAUAUAGGGAGAGGGAGAAAAGAGGGAACAGAGAUAUGGAAAGAGGGGGGAACAGAGAUAUGGGGAGGGGGGAGACAGACAGAGAGGGAAGAAUGAGACACUGGGAGAAACGGGGAAUAGAGAGAUAGGGAGGGGGAGAAAGAGACACAGGGGGAGAAAGAGAUGGGGAGGGGGAGAAAGAGACAGAGAGGAAGAGAGAUGUGGGGGAGAGAGAGACAGGGAAAGGGGGGAGAAAAACAGUGGAAGAGAGGGAGAAAGAGGCAGAGGGGUAAGAGAGACUGGGAAGGAGGGGGGAGAAAGAAACAUACAGAGGGACGGGGGGAGACAAAAAGGCACACAGAAGGGCUGUAUAUAUCACUGGUGGAUCCAGGGGGGCAACAGGGCAAUUGCUCCCCCUCCCCUGUCCGCAGGCACCGUGCGGGCAGGGGAGGAAGGAAGAGAGGACCUGGGAGCUCACCCUGCAGCUCCUCUGGGUCCUUCUUGCACGAGCACAGAGCGUUGCCGCGAUUACCAUGGCAACGUUACCGCUCUUGCGAGAGUCAACUCUAGCCCUGGAGCUACGGUCUAGUGUUCACUCUCAACACUGUGACCCCCAGGGAUUCCUGGUGGUCGCAGUGGUGAGAGUGAACUCUAGCCCCAUAAACAGACUGCCCCCACACACACACCAUACACAUUCACACACUGCCCCCAAACACACCAUACACAUUUACACACAUUGCCUCACACACACACAUACACUGCCCACCCAUAUACACAUAGACCCCCAUACACAGCCCCCCAUACUAGCAUUGCCACACACGUACACAGCCCACACACCCUACACAUUCACACACUAUACCCCCCACACACACUGAACCUUUCACACACAUUGCACCACUGCUCCUAUUCCCUACUACAGCCCCAUAUCCCAGCAGAUCCCAGGUAAGUUGUCAAACUGUUCUUAAAUGGUUUGACUACUUACUCUGGAGCAGUAGUGGUUAUUAUGCAUGGAUUAUUUCUUUAAAUAAUCUACAAGUGCCCCAGUAGCCAGCCAGCCAACCCACAGGCUGGCCAGUAGCCAGCCCACAGGCCAGUAGCCAGCCCACAGGCCUACAGCAAACCACAGGCUUACAGCCAGCAAGCCCACAGCCUGCCAGUCGCAGCCAGCAAGCCGCAGCCUGCCAGCCCACAGCCUGCCGGCAGUAGCCAGCAAGCCCACAGCCUGCCAGCUGCAGCAAGCAAGCCCACAGAUUGCCAGCCAGCAACAGUAAUUAAGGUAAGAGGAGCCAACUUGGCCUAGGUAUCAGCGAGCUAUGUUGUGUUGCUAUAUUGUGAAUAGGAACCAGAGUGUUGGAGAGACCACCCUCCAGGCCCCAUUAGACUCCAUUGUAGUCUCUAAUGGGGCCUGGAGGAGAUUCUUUCUAACACACUCUCUUAAGGACACUGAGAUAGCCUCUGCUAGAAAUCCCCUCCAUGGCCCAUUAGCCCUCAAUUGUAGUCUCUACUGGGGCCUGGAGGCGACUGUUUCCAGCAGGGGAUAUCUAAUGGACGCUGAGAUGGCCUCUGUUAGAAAGACCCCCUUCCAAGCCUAUUAGACUCCAUUGUAGUCUCUAAUGGGGCCUUGGAGGGGAUUCUUUCUAACACACUCUCUAAAGGACACUGAGAUAGCCUCCGCUAGAAAGACCCCCCUCCAUGGCCCAUUAGCCCUCAAUUGUAGUCUCUACUGGGGCCUCGAAGGGCUUAUUGCCCUUUUGUUCCUUGUGUCUAAAGAUUGUGUAGGGUGUGGCUGGAGGCGGUGCAUGGAGGCGGGACAAGGGUGGCGCUUGCUGCAGAGUAUGGGUGGGGCCUGUAAGGGGGCCCUUGAUUUAUUUUGCCCGGGGGCCCUGAGGGUUCUCAGUCCGCCCCUGGGUCUGGGUGCCUAUAGUGUCCCUUUAGGUGCUGUCAAAUCUAAUUGAAAAUUAAACUUGUUUUUUUUUUUCAUGCAGUCAGUGUGAGUCACAGAAAAAGGAGGUGUGGCUAGGACGGCAUAAACAGAAACAAAAGUUAUUUAACUCCUAAAUAGUAGAGAUGUAAGGCUGCAGGGGCACGACCUAUGCAAUAAAAAUGCUCACUAAGCUAAAGUUGUUAUGGUGCUUAUAGUAUGCAUUAAGUAUGCCUGAAGUAUUCAUUUAAGACUAGUUUAUUGAGCAAAGAAUGUACAUAUAUAUUGUAUAAUUUAACAGGAAAUAUAUGUCAAAAUAUAACACACGUGCUCCCCCAGAGGUAAAAAUAAAUGAAAAUUAUUUUACCAGAUGUAUGAUUGUAUUUUACCCCUCAGAUCUUCUCAAUACAAGUAUAAAAAAUACAAUCUACAAAAAAGAAUAAACAUAGAGAGAAUAUAGUGUAGUAGAUUCAAACACCAAAUUGUGCACUAGUAAAAUUGCACUCACAAGAUGAGAGAGCAGUAAGGACAUAUAACGAUCUUUGAACUUGACGGACAGCUGUAAUCUUCUAUUUUCACCUAAGAGAGGGAGAGACACACAAACCAUAGUGCACAAAUAUAAUAAGAAAUAGUAAUAUUUAUUUGAUUGCACUCACACAAUAAUAGUUGUAAUCCAGCUUGUCACAAUACUUGGGGGAUAGUGGUGCCGGCGUCCUUCUUCCCUUAGCGAGUAGUGACAAAACAAACUGAAUAAAAACAGUCUAUGAACAUAAGACAAUAUAAAGACAAAAUAAUAUAAAAUAACAAGGUACUGUCGUGGUCCCUCCGCCCUACGCGUUUCGUCUCAAAACGAGACUUCCUCAGGGAAAAAUGAAGGUGUAUAUUACAGUCUGUUGAGUCCAUCUUUUAAAAGGUCGUAAAUUCCCGCCUUCUGUAUGGCCAAUCGGAAUGUAUCACCUGCGAUAGUUUAAUGCGUUCCAAGCCUCGUUUUCGGUUUGACCAUUCUCAGAGCAACUUCCGGUAUCGCGUGGAGCGCAAACAUGCGUUCCACGGCCGUAAAAGGAAAUGAACGAAUCCAUACAUGAAAAAAGUAUUAUAAAACAAAUAGAGAAAUAAAUCCAUAGGCAAAAAACAUCAUAGUACUAACAUUUUACAAGAUAAAUACAAGCAUAAGUGGUUAUUAAUAUUAAUGGGAGAUGAGAUCAAAUACACUAAAUUAAGAGGAAAUCUUAUACGAAAACCUCAUAUAAAAAAUCCUUUUUGAGGUAUAUAUUUUAAAGAAUAAAAGAUAAAAGAUAAAAAGGAAGGGCACAUUGGAAUGAUAAUGGUGAGUAUAAGAAUAUAAAUAUAUAAAUGUAAAAAACUAUUAAAUAAAAUAUUAUUAAAUAAAAAAUUAAUUAAAAAAUAUAUUAAAAAAUAUAUAUGUAAUGGUUCAUUUAUAAAAAACACACGAUAUCAAAAUCGACAUUUAGCCCAAUAGGGCUAAAAGUCUUGAGAUUAAAAAUCCCAAAACCUUCUCUUUGGCGUAAUUUCCUAAUUAAAUCACCUCCUCUAUCAUCCAAUGUAACCUUUUCUAAACCCGUGCACGAAAAAGUAUCAAACUUGAAAUCAGGACAAUUAUUACAAUGUACUGGUACAGAGUGAGUAAUUAAGUGUUUCUUUAUAUUAUUACAAUGUUCCAUAAAUCUAAUUUUUAGAGCUCUACUGGUUCUCCCUACAUACUGGAUGCCACAUCCACAAGUUAAAAGAUACACUACAUUAGUGGUGUUGCAGUUAAUAUAAUCAUUUAUUUUAAAAAAGUUCUCCUGUUUUAUAACUUUUAAAAUGUUGUGUUUUUUAGGUAAAAAUUUACAACCCUUGCAUCUACCAGAUUUGUAGAAUCCCUUUAGGGAUGUGGCUUCUGUUUUCUUUGAUUUAAACGUGCUAGGAGCUUUAGGAGCAUAUAUAUGCUAUAAUUUGUAGGUUAUUUUACUAGUAUUCCAGUUAAGAAUAUUAAGAUGUGCCUGUUGAUGUUCUUCCCAUUUAAAUGAUUACUCUAACUCAGGGGCUCCCAAUUAAUUUUUCCCGUGGAACCCUUUUACAUAAUGCGCUAACAGCGUGGAACGUCAAAAAUGUUUGGGCAUACACAAACAAAUUAACACACAUAUAAAAACAUUGACACAUUAUUAUUAUUUUAUUAUUUAUAUAGCGCCAGCAAAUUCUGUAGCGCACACGUACACACACUAAAAUAUAUACACAGACACAAAGAUAUACACCUUGACACACAUUAGGGCACACACACACCAAUACACACAUACUGACAUACACUCAGAUACACAUAGUGACACAUACACAAACCUUGGCACACAGAUACACACACUCAGAAGCGCAUAUUGGCACAUACAAACACACCAACACACACACUGGCACAUAUAAACACACUGAUACAGACAUACUGACAUAUACACACACUGACACAUACACACACACCUUGACACAUAUACACACACUCAGAUACACACAUUGACACAUGCACAAAACAUUACACAGAUACGCACAUACACACAAUGACCCAUACAAACAUAUACAGGGAGUGCAGAAUUAUUAGGCAAGUUGUAUUUUUGAGGAUUAAUUUUAUCAUUGAACAACAACCAUGUUCUCAAUGAACCCAAAAAACUCAUUAAUAUCAAAGCUGAAUAUUUUUGGAAGUAGUUUUUAGUUUGUUUUUAGUUAUAGCUAUGUUAGGGGGAUAUCUGUGUGUGCAGGUGACUAUUACUGUGCAUAAUUAUUAGGCAACUUAACAAAAAACAAAUAUAUACCCAUUUCAAUUAUUUAUUAUUACCAGUGAAACCAAUAUAACAUCUCAACAUUCACAAAUAUACAUUUCUGACAUUCAAAAACAAAACAAAAACAAAUCAGUGACCAAUAUAGCCACCUUUCUUUGCAAGGACACUCAAAAGCCUGCCAUCCAUGGAUUCUGUCAGUGUUUUGAUCUGUUCACCAUCAACAUUGCGUGCAGCAGCAACCACAGCCUCCCAGACACUGUUCAGAGAGGUGUACUGUUUUCCUUCCUUGUAAAUCUCACAUUUGAUGAUGGACCACAGGUUCUCAAUGGGGUUCAGAUCAGGUGAACAAGGAGGCCAUGUCAUUAGAUUUUUCUUCUUUUAUACCCUUUCUUGCCAGCCACGCUGUGGAGUACUUGGACGCGUGUGAUGGAGCAUUGUCCUGCAUGAAAAUCAUGUUUUUCUUGAAGGAUGCAGACUUCUUCCUGUACCACUGCUUGAAGAAGGUGUCUUCCAGGAACUGGCAGUAGGACUGGGAGUUGAGCUUGACUCCAUCCUCAACCCGAAAAGGCCCCACAAGCUCAUCUUUGAUGAUACCAGCCCAAACCAGUACUCCACCUCCACCUUGCUGGCGUCUGAGUCGGACUGGAGCUCUCUGCCCUUUACCAAUCCAGCCACGGGCCCAUCCAUCUGGCCCAUCAAGACUCACUCUCAUUUCAUCAGUCCAUAAAACCUUAGAAAAAUCAGUCUUGAGAUAAUUCUUGGCCCAGUCUUGACGUUUCAGCUUGUGUGUCUUGUUCAGUGGUGGUCGUCUUUCAGCCUUUCUUACCUUGGCCAUGUCUCUGAGUAUUGCACACCUUGUGCUUUUGGGCACUCCAGUGAUGUUGCAGCUCUGAAAUAUGGCCAACCUGGUGGCAAGUGGCAUCGUGGCAGCUGCACGCUUGACUUUUCUCAGUUCAUGGGCAGUUAUUUUGCGCCUUGGUUUUUCCACACGCUUCUUGCGACCCUGUUGACUAUUUUGAAUGAAACGCUUGAUUGUUCGAUGAUCACGCUUCAGAAGCUUUGCAAUUUUAAGAGUGCUGCAUCCCUCUGCAAGAUAUCUCACUAUUUUUGACUUUUCUGAGCCUGUCAAGUCCUUCUUUUGACCCAUUUUGCCAAAGGAAAGGAAGUUGCCUAAUAAUUAUGCACACAUGAUAUAGGGUGUUGAUGUCAUUAGACCACACCCCUUCUCAUUACAGAGAUGCACAUCACCUAAUAUGCUUAAUUGGUAGUAGGCUUUCGAGCCUAUACAGCUUGGAGUAAGACAACAUGCAUAAAGAGGAUGAUGUGGUCAAAAUACUCAUUUGCCUAAUAAUUCUGCACUCCCUGUACACACGCCUUGACAUACAGAUACACACUCAGAUGCACACAUUGACACAUGCACAAAACAUUACACAGAUACGCACAUACACACAAUGACCCAUACAAACACAUACACACACCUUGACACACAAAUACACACAUACUCAGAUACACACAGUGAAACAUACACACAGUUGCACCCACAGAUACACACACUGGCACAUACACACAUUAUUAUUAUUGGUAUUUAUAUAGCGCCAGCUUAUUCCGCAGCGCUUUACAAUAAAAGGGGAAUUUACCAAAUGAUGUAACAGGAACAAUAGGUAGUUAAGGACCCUGCUCAAACAAGCUUACUGUCUAGAGCUGUGUUUCCCAAUUGGGUUUCCGCCAAAAUGUCUAAAAACAAAAUUGCCGCGGGCGGCGAGGGAGCAGUGAUCUCUCUGCUCAGCUCCAUCGCGUGUACAGCAGUGAUGCUGGAGCCGGAAUAUGAUGUCAGUCUGGCUCCAGCAUCACUAAGAGGCACGUGAGGGAGCUGAGCAGGGAGAUCACUGCUCCCUCGCCACCCACACACCAGCCCCACUGGACCCCAGGGACCGCUCGCCAGCCACUCAGCAGCCCCACUGGACCCCAGGUACCGCAUGUUCAGCCCACCAGCCCCACUGGACCACAGGGUGGAGUAAAAUAAAAAAAAUAAAAAAAAUUGUAUGUGUAUCUGUUAGGGAGCUUGUAUGUGUUUGUGUAUCUGUCAAAGAGUAUAUGUGUGUUUGCCAGAGACAAUGUAUGUAUGCUUGUCAGUGAGAAUGUAUUUGUGCUUGGCAGUGAGUGUAUGUGUUUGUAUGUGUCUGUAAAAGAGUGUGUGUAUCUGUCAAAGAGUAUGUGUGUCGGUGUGUGUGUAUAUCUGUGUGUCCAUGUUUGUGUAUGUGUCACCGUGUGUAUCCGAGUAUGUGUGUAGGUCAGUAUGUUUGUGUGUAUGUGCCAGUGUAUAUAAGUGUGUUUGUAUGUGCCUAUAUGUGUGUGUGUGUAUGUCAGUGUGUGUGUGUAUCUGAGUUAGUCAGUGUGUGCAUAUGACACUGUGUGUAUGUGUCAAUGUGUGUAUCUGUGGGUGCAAGUGUGUGUAAGUGUCACUGUGUGUAUCUGAGUGUGUGUGUAUUUGUGAGUCAAGAUCUGUGUGUCUGUGUGUUUGAGUGUGUGUAUCUGUGUGUCAAGGUUAAUGUGUCUGUGUGCCACUGUGUGUAUCUGUGUGUCAGAUACAUAUACACAGAAUGACAUAGAUACACACACUUUGAUACAUAGAUACACACACCUUGACACACAAAUACAUACACGCACACACACACAGAUAGACACUGUGUGUGUGUAUUUGUGUGCCACUAUGUGCGUUUGUGCGUAUCUGUGUGUCAGAUUCAUACACACUGGCACAUACAAACACAGAUACACACAUUGACAUACAGAUACACCGGCCUUAGGGGUGUGCGACCUGUGCGGCCACACAUGGCACCAUAGACCAGGGGGCACCCUGCGGCCGACACAGCUCACACAUGGCCGGCCAGAAAUUUAAAAUAAAUAAAUAAUAAUAAUAAAAAAAUAAUAAUUUGCGGCUAAUAGCGCCAGAUAACUGCUGCAGGGGAAGCAGGAAGGAGUCCCUGCUUCCCCACCAAACAGUCUCCAGGAGCUGUACUGCCUCCACAAUGAACUCCACAGGUAACUGUGUGAUUGUCAAUGUGAGUGUGACUGUCUGCCUGUGUGUGUGACUGUCUGCCUGAGUGUGUGUGUGUGUGUGUAUGACUGUCUGCCUGUGUAUGUGUGUGUCUGUGUGUAUGACUGUGUGUGUGUGUAUAUCUGCCUGUGUGUGUGUGUAUGACUGCCUGUGUGUAUGUCUGCCUGUGUGUGUGUAUGACUGCCUGUGUGUGUGUCUCUGACUGUGUGUGUGUAUGACUGUCUGCGUGUGUGUGUGUGUAUGACUGCCUGUGUGUGUCUGUGUGUAUGACUAUCUGCCUGUGUGUGUGUGUGUGUGUAUGACUGUCUGUGUGUAUGACUGUCUGCUUGUGUGUGUGACUCAUCCUGUGUGUAUGACUGCCUGUGUGUGUGACUGUCUGCCUGUGUCUGUGUGUGCAUGACUGCCCGUGUGUGUGUGUCUGUGUGUAUGACUGUCUGCCUGUGUGUGUGUAUGACUGUCUGCCUGUGUGUCUGUGUGUGUGUAUGACUGUCUGCUUGUGUGUGUCUGUCUGCCUGUGUGUGUAUAACUGUCUGCCUGUGUGUGUGUGGCUGUCUGUGUGUGUGUGGCUGUCUGCAUGUAAGUAUGUGUGUGUGUAAGACUGUAUGUGUGGCUGUGUGUGUGUGUGUGUGUCGGCCUGUAAUUCUGUGUGAGUGUGUUUAUCUACCUGUAACUGUGUAUGUGUGUUACUGCCUGUAACGGCACCCCCAGGCAUAAAACGGUUAAACCGCCAUUUAGAAGAUCUUCCCCUUCCAGAGACACAGGCAGCUACUGUAGACACCAUUCCACCGAACCGGAGAAGCAUAUGAAUGCUCUCAAACAUACAAAUGCUGUAAACAGCCGAAUAGGAAAAACCAUACGAAUAGGUUUACACUCCUAGCAGUCGAACUGGAACAGCAUACAAUAAAUCCCCCCAAGAACGAGACAGGGCUCCGUUUUGGGGGUCAAGCAGGAACAGACAGAGCUGUGGGUUUAUUAUUCUUAUAUACACAUUCUUACACAUUAGUACCACCCACAGGGUUUUGUAAAACAACCAAUAAACACGUACAAUACACUCAGACACUCCCACACAAAAGCCUCCCCUCUACCUGUGAUACAAAUUACCUUACACAAUGGGUAAUGAAAUUAUCACAGUCAAAGAAAUACAGUUUUUCCACAUUAUUCAUAACUUUAAAAGUAUGCAUCACAUUGACAUACAUUUUCAGAAUCAGCAUACUUCAAAUACAAACAUAUGUCAAAAAUUGGUCCAGUGGGUCAAAAGUUAGAUCAAAGUCCUUUGUGACCAAAUGAAGCAUGGCUUUUCUGCCCAAAACCAGUUCCACAGAGAUAAUCCAAUUAUCUCCAAGGACAGAGGCAAAACUCUGUUAGCCACAUGGUAGCAAAAGACAAUAAAAUACAUAAAAAUAUAUAACUGUGCAGCUUUUGCAUAAAACAGGUACAUUCAACAUAUCCCCAGAUAGCUUAGAUCUGAGUGCACAUUAUUACUGAAUGGCGCUCAGAUCACAUACAUACAUUUCAAUUGCCAUGGAGUCAAAGUAUUUCGUUAUACGAAUGGGUUCCAAUGCAUAGCUAUCUGGGGUAUCACUGUUCAAAUAGGGCAAGUACCGAAUGACCCGGCUUUCGUGUCUUUGCAGGGGAAAAUCAAGCGUUUCAACAUGGGGCCAUAGUCUAAAGGCAGCAGGUGGGCAACCAGGCUCCUCCAAUGCACAGUGGCGAGAUUGGUCUCGUCACACUGCCUGUACCUGUGUGUUUCUGCCUGGUCCUGUGUAUGUGACUAUCUGCCUGCGACUGUGUGCAUGUGGUGGAUUUGACAGUGUAUAUGUAUAACUGUGGGCAUCUGACUGUGUGCACAUAACUCUGCAAAAAUAUACACCUGCAUUCACACACAGGCCUAAAUGCAUGUUUUUAUCUGAAUUAAAUAACCAUCACACACAGCCAAUAAACCCAGCACAAAUAUCACAUACAACCAAUACACGCAUAUCACACACUGUUAAUACACCCAUUACAAAUAUCACACACAGCCAACACAUGGCAUACAUAUCACACACACUCAUCACACCUACUAUCACAUACACAGACAACACAAAUAUUACAUCAAACAUGGAUGAAGGGGGGAGGGGAGGGCUGUGGAGAUUUUUCACACAGGGCGCCUAAAGGCCUAAGGCCGGCCCUGUGUGUGUCUGUGACAGUGUGUGUAUGUGUGUGUUAGAUACAUACACACAGAUACACAUUGACACACAGAUACACUCUGAUACAUACAAACACAGUUACACACACCUUAACACACAGACACAGACCGGCACAUACAAAAAAAAAACGGAGCAAUUUCGUUUUCUUUCAUUGUGGGUUUCCACAAUGUUGAUACACUAUGUCAAAGGGUUCCACUGGAAAAAUUAAUUGGGAACCCCUGGUCUAGAGAUUCAAAACUCUCUGGUCACAGGCUAAUUUACACAAAUCAGACCAUUAUAAACCUCCCCCCUCUUCCUCUCUGCAGCUUAUUCCUCCCACCUCUCCAUUUUCCCUUUUUUCCAUUUAUGUACAUAUUUGUAAAUACCCCUUGACACACAGAUACACACACACACUCAGUCAUAUACACACUGACACACAUAGGCACAUGAAAACACACUGAUAUACACUGGCACAUACACAGAUAAACUAUAGAAACAAGCAGGAUGGUCAAAAAAUAAUAAAAUGGAAAUAUUAUUAUAUAUACGGGCAGCUUCACACAGUGUAUGAGCGACUAAUAUGAAUAGACAAUAAAAGCAUAAAUAUGGUGUGAGCGCUCCUAACAAUAAGAUGAUGUAUAUUAAAUCAUAAAAAACAUUUAAUAAUGAAAUAUCAACAAUAAUUAAUAGAUAAAAUAAAUUCCCAAUAGCAACAAAAAUAGAGUAUUAUUUCAUCACUUAUUGCCUAAAAAAGCAGUUCCAAGAAGAUAACGAUAAAUAUAACCAAAUGUGACAAUUAGCAAUGUUCAGGGUAACAGAACCCUGAACGCAACAGAACUUACAAAGCAACAGAGUAAUAUAUUGUACCACAUAAAUGGAAACAGACACGCUCAAAAAUAUAUAGGCACACUCCAAGGUCUAAUGCCAUGAAAAAACAACUAAAGCUGGAAUGUGACAGAUAUAAAGAAUUAGAGUAGAGCUUGCAAACACCACCUGUUUGAUGUCCCUGCUGCUUGGUACAGGUACCAGGGGUUGAGCUCGCUGGGCAUCUUUCCACUAAUUACUCCUUUUAUAUUAUACAACAUCUUUCUUCUCGUCCUAUUUACGUGUCACAGCAUGAGCUGCUGCAGGGAGGGGGGCCACCGGCUGGAGUUAUAAUCGACUUUUAUUUGUUAGCCCUAUCCGUUACCUUUUACCAUUGUCCUGCAUAUAUUUUGUGAUUGUUUCUUUGCAUAUUGCUAUUUUUAUCUCUUUGUCUCUACCUGCUCUCCUAUUGUUCACAUCCAUUUUCUUUCCGUCAUUCUUUAAGGGUGUCUCUUCACCCACCUCUUAUGCUGAUUUUAUAUAUUGAGAUCGAGGUUUAGUGUUUGCACGCUCUACUCUAAUUCUUUAUAUCUGUCACAUUCCAGCUUUAGUUGUUUUUUCAUGGCAUUAGACCUUGGAGUGUGCCUAUAUAUAUAUAUUUUUGAGCGUGUCUGUUUCCAUUUAUGUGGUACAAUAUAUUACUUUGUUGCUUUGUAAGUUCUAUUGCGUUCAGGGCUUUAUUACCCUGAACAUUGCUAAUUGUCACAUUUGGAUAUAUUUAUCGUUAUCUUCUUGGAACUGCUUUUUCAGGAGAUAACUGAUGAUCUAUUACUCAAUUUUGUUACUAUUGGGAAUUUAUUUUAUCUAUUAUUGUUGAUAUUUCAUUAUUAAAUGUUUUUUAUGAUUUGAUAUACAUCAUCUUAUUAUUAGGAGCGCUCACACCAUAUUUAUGCACAUACACAGAUACACACAGGCACACACAAUCUGACAUACAUCAGAGCCACUCUCCUGUUAGCUAACUUGUGGUCCUGGUGCUGUUGGUUGAGGCUGAUGGGAGUGAGCUGUUGCAUGAUCACUCCAGCCUCUCCUCUGACAUGCAUGGUGCUCCCUCUCCAGUCCCCUCCUCCCACAGAGUUAC